rnacentral:lncRNA from 1 species
ACAAAAAAAUGUCAUAUAAUGUAAUGUUUUGAGGAAAAUGAAGUGGCCCUAAUACUCGUAAAUAAUAUACUGUAUUUUUAUACUAUUUGUUUCCCUGCAGUGGUUCUUGCACAGAUGAACCAGUGGAGCUGUCGUGUCACAGGGUGCCGCUCCCUAAUAACCAGGAUCAGCCGACCUCUGAUGCUCAGCAGAGACAGUCUAGUCCACAAAAACCUUCUCUCGAUGACUUAGAUGUUACGCCUGAAAAAGAAGGGAAAAGUAGUGGCAGUGACGUGUCAUUCUCUGUUUCGCAUGGAAACAUUCCUGAAAAAGUCUGCACACCAGAAACGGUGACUAUUACCUUUCGUGAUCCCCAUUCCUCACACAUAUCAUCAGUGUUGUCAAAACACAAAUAACUGACAUUUUGUCUUUUCCAGAGUUUAAACGUUGAGGACUUGGACUUCUCAGAAAACGUUGAAGAUUCAUUCUCUUCCGCCUCCCUAAGCCUACAAGCCCCUCUACACCCAGAGCCCCGAGAUCUGUCUACCGUCCAGCCUGAGGCCUCGGUUCACACAGGGGUUACAGAUUCAGUUGGAGUGCUGUUCCUCAACACACCUGUAGAUCCUCCAAGCCUUCAGCCACAAAGCUCCAUGGCUGGUGCAACCACGGCUGUUUCUACAGCCCCCAAUCACCCAUCAAUCAUUCAGACCCCGCCAGCGAGACAGCAAUUGGGUGAAGACUUAUUUAGAUUGGUUCAGCAUAUCAACUACAUGGGAAUGAUGGAGGUCUUGGGAGCUUCAUUUUCCAGCCUGCAACUUGCCCAGCAGAGCUCAACUCUGGCUCAGUCCAACUUGAAUGCCUCACACCCUCAUGUGCCACCAUCUCAUGUAACCAAUUACAUCCCUCAACCAAAUGCCUUACCCGAUCAAACCACCAUUUCUGUGGCGCCCCAGACACAGUCACGUUUGCCAACUUCAGCAUCCAACAAUCCUCAACCCAGUCAGGCCACUGCAUGUAUGUUUGCAGACCGGCCUGCUUUACAGAUCGCAGGGAAAACCUCCCUAACAGAUGGCCACCCUCAAAUCACCAGGAAUCUGUCCUCCGCUGCCAGUGGUGCCGGUGUAAACGAUCAGGAAAUGCAUCAACUCUCUGUCCAAGUGGAGACAUCAGAAAUCCAGUUUAGACAGAGCAGAGGGUUAAUCCCGUCCGCCCAGGGGCUCCUGGUCACUACUGACGUUAGUCAGGCGGCUCCCAGUGCUCCUGUGGUGCUGCCUUCUGACGGUAGCAUACAAAAUGACACUACUCCCCAUGUCUUUAGCCUGAAAUUAAUUCAGCCUCGGUGUCCUCCGCUGCCCCAGCGGAGCGCCCCACACUAUCCUCCAGCCCAAGAACCCCAAAUGCUGUGCAUUGCAAACCCAGCAACUCCAGAACCCCAUCAGCCCGAGCUUAAACAAAAUCACCAAGUUGCAUCAAAGAGGGCAGAAGAAAGAAGAGUUGGGUCUUCAAGAAGACAGCUCAGUUUUAAUCAUGCACAUGAUCCAGCUCCCACGAACUCUCGACCCCAGAUUCAGACAUCAGACAGGUCCCGGGGACAGGAGUUCACGUCACUCCCUCCUGCUUCACCGGCUCACACGCCGGCUCCAGUGCGGGGCUGUUACCUGCUGCACCUUCAGCCUGCUGCACACAGCAGUCUCCUGCUCCCUAAACUACCCAUUCCAUUUUCUUCUCGGCCCUCUGCUGUCAUCGCAGCUCCAAUGAGACAAACACCUCUGGCCAAGCUCUUACAUCUACAGUCCGCACCAAAAAUGAUUUUGCCACGGGCUGCUCCUUUAGCUCCACAAAUGGGCCGCCUCAACUCUGUGGAUGAGUUGACAAGUACAGUGAUGAAUGUCGAAGAGGCUCAACGGCUGCUGCUCAGAGUGGACGCGCCCACUGAAGGCUCCAGAGCAAAUGAUACUUCUCCCAGGCAGCGGAGGAGAGAGGAGAAGGCUGGCAGGGCAAGAAAAACAGUCGUAACAUUCACACCAAAUGAGUCCAUCAUCCCCACGCUGACCGAUGAGCCUGUAAAUGGAGAGUCUGCAGUUGAAGAGGAGAUCACGCCAAAACACGACUUUGCUCUUCCUCUUGGAUCCUUUGAUUCUCUGAUGACUGGUCAGAGAUUAUUGCACAAGGCCGAGUCCACUUCAGCUGAGCUCCAUGCCUUUGCUUCCACAUGUAAAAAACCCCCAGAGUGCCAUGAUGCUUUCACCAACACAGAGCCAGCUUGUCCACCCACUCUUCUGGAUAAAGCUGUGUCUGCCUCUGUGACUACCAGUAUUCCUAAGUCAAAAUGUUCACGGAACUUCCAGAUAUGUGAUGAACUUCUUGUUCAAGAUCUAGAGGAGACCCCGAAGAAACCAGAGAAGAUUCUGCAUGGCCACCAGUUCAUAAGUGUCUUGGAUCUGGACGACAAUGCGCUGCACCAUGAUUUGCCAUUGUGUCUCAGCCCAGGAGAACAGGAUACUCCUUCCAUCCGCCCUCCUUCACCUACAUCCGCUCAGCUUCAUGUUCUUGCAACUUCUGUUAUAAGCGUCGCUGCUUCUGCUGCUGAUCCACAACCAUCAAAAUCGAUCACAGACAAUCGCCUGGAACCCACCACUCACCCAGAUAUCCCUGAAGAUUCUCGGUUACUCAGUUGCACUGAGUCCAAUAAAGAUCCAGAGAGAAUCACUCCACAAGAACUGACAGACCCGUCUGAUUCUCUGAUCUGUCGAGCCAUAAAGAAGCAGAGCGUUGGACCUCACAGAGCCUCCUUCUCACCCCCUACAGUCGAGUUCUCCUCUCGUCUGUCGGAGCUGGACGCCCAGUUGGCCGAACUACACAAAAUUGCAAACAAUCUGGAGAUGGACUUUUCCAACACCAGGAUGCUGGUGAACACCAUCGAAAAGCUCACCCCAGUCUUGGCUCCUGAUGUGAAGAAAAAAAAAUGUCAGACUGUCUGUCCCACGGGAAGGUGCGCCUUCAAACACUUUAUAUCUUCAUAUAGUCCCUGAAGCCCAUAAUCAAAAGUUGCAGCUUUAAUAGAGUAACAUUUAACACUAAUAUUAUUUAUAUAAACCUACAUAGUCCUCUGUUAAUAUAUCAUAUAUUUUCUGUCUAUAACAGCGUGGACACCACGAUCUGACUUUUCAACUGAACCAAAGGCCUGUGAAGUGGAAGAGGAAAGUCAGGAUGACAGAUAUUUGCUUCAUAGUGAUUUCCGCGCUCAAGAAGGAAAUUCUUCUUUCAGUUAUUUCACUCCUCACCGUCACAGAGCUGGUCCUUCCUACCUUCAAAGCCCUCCAAGUAAAAGAUUUAUUCCAACAUUUCCUGAAAACUUUCUUACUACCUUGAACAACUUACUGAGUUCAUAGUUAAUAGUUAGACGUUUAAAAAUGUGUACUAAAGUUAAAAAUUAAGGUAGGUAUGUCACAGUGAUACUCCUGAUUGACAACCUCUAAUUAAAAGAAAGCACAUCUUACAUUUUCAUCUAAAGAUUCAAAUGGCUUCAAAUAGCUUUUGUAUUUGUUUUUUAACAUAGUAGUGGAAAGCCACGUGGCAAAGGAACUUUUGACUUCAAGUCAACUGGUGACUUGACUAAUCACCAGAUACAUUAUUUUGAACAGCGCAUCAUAAUGUUAUAAUCGACUACUUCAUCUGUUUUAAUGUUUGUGUUUCUUCCACAGACAUGAAAGAUAAUUCGCCUGAUGCAUCUGGAAUAUCUCAUGUGUAAGUAGAUAUUGAACAUAUUGAAUCUGAAGUCUUUUAACCAUGUUGAGACUUACACUGUCACUUAUGGAGCUACCAUUUCACAAUACUCUGGCCUUUGUCAAUCUCUAGUUGGGAAGAUGACAAUCUGGGUCAGACUGGGCUAUCGGAUACUGCAGAAAUCUUAGACGAGUUGAUAAAGGAAGGGUAUUUAUCCCCGACUGACCUGGAUUUGUCCAGUUCACUGACUGCACACCAUAGCAGGUAUGGGACCUACCAAAAUUGACUGCAAAACAAGAAAACUACUUAAAUAACUGUGAGUAUUACAAAUAUGAGUAUCCCCAGGCUGACAAGUUAUAUGACCCACAGCCGGCUGCAUCAUCAGCAGAGUAGCUGGGUGUCGCAUGAGAGUGUCCAUCCAGAGGAUAAGAGGGGAGAGCUGAGGAUCUGGAUGAGAAGGAAACAUAGGGAAAGACUGGCUGUUUAUCAAAAAAACAGAGAAAGCCUGAAGGAGAGGGAGCAUAAACCUUUUCCUGGAAAAAUGGUGAGAUCCGGCCUGCUUUUACUAGAAUUGACCUUUCAUUGUAUGUUAUGCUUUUAAAUAAUUUUUUUGUACUGUACCCCUUCUUUUCAAAGAAAUCUACUAACAGAAACCGAGCAAGUGCUUGGAGAACUAGAGAGGAAAAAGAAAAGUAAGUAACUGUUUGAACAAAUUGUACAUGUCUGUGCACAGGAGACAUGCAUGCGUGUGCAGGAAUGUAAAUGCAUUAUUAUUAUUUGAAUUUGGUUUGAUAGGUUCAUGCUUCUGGAGAAUUACAACGAGAGGACCCGUGAAGCUUGUACUCUGGCCAGUGACUUCACCACCACUCCUCCAGUUUUACACAGUUCUUCACAGCCCGCAGGUCCUGCACUUCCUGCCACCACACGGUCCACCUCUGCGCCACCCCCUGGCAGCACUCACAGGUAUUGUCUGACUGGGCUCUCGUCCCAUUAAAUUGAAAUUUUACACUGAUAAAGCAUUCAAACAAAUAAUGAAUUAUUAAUCAGUUACAAGGAUUUGCAUGUUCAUUCUAAACGCCUAGAAUUAGCUAGCUUUGGUAAUGGUGGUAAUAUCUUUUUCUUAGGGCGUACAGUGCAUCUGCCAAGGACAAAAUUCUUAAGUCCCAGUCAAGACAAACUCAGCCCCUCCUUCGUCCAUGGACUGCUGAGGGGCAGGGACGGCCUCUGCAGGGUCAUGGCAGGAGACUGGGACUGCACAGACCAGGUAUUGUGAUGAUAUUCAACAAAGUUGAUUUGUCUGUAAUAAGUGCCAUUAAAUAUAAUAUAAAAUUAGACAAAACCUGGUUAUGUUGUGUGAUUUUCGGUUUAGUUACCUCUCUGCCAAGGGAUCGUCUGUCUCAGGUGACCAGACGUGGCAUGCUCACUUACACAAAGAGCAACAAUAAACUACACCCGACCAGCCAGAGUGAGGAUCGCCGCGUCGGAUACCAGAGAAGGAUGCCGUUGAACAAAAGACCCUUAGGAGUGACCUCGGUAGGGAGAGGAAUCCAGAGGGAGCAGACAAAACGGGAAGACGGAGAAGAGGAGACCCUUUGGGAGCCCACCUCAGAACUGAAUAGGCUGCUUGGUCAAGAGGACGCUGACAUAGUAAGAAUGCCAUAUUUCCUCAUGAAUUAGACUAUAUGUGAGAGGAAUAUCGCCGAAUAUCUUUCUGCGUAGUAACUGUCGCUGUACAUUUGUCAGGUUUUGGCCGGGCUGUUGGAUGAGCAGGAUGGUGGAGGCGGAGCUGGUGUGUCAGGGCUGGACUGGCUGGACGACCUGUCUGUGAGCGGCGGGAGCAGCCUCAGCAAAAUCGACUGGGCGGCUAUCGAGAGGAUAGUGGCUGCGGAAGAAGACUGAGCUUGAGUGUCUCACUCUUGAAGACGAUUCAUCUCUCAUACAAGAGGUUUCCUCAGUUCUAACUAAAAGUUGUGGUGAACCCCAGGUAUUUAACCUCUGUGGAAUAUGGGCAGUGUUAAUGCUCCAGACUGUUAUAACGAGGCUAGUUAGAAUAAGCAUUUAAGCAUUUAGAGAAUCCUAACAGCUUUUAUCAUGGCUGCUGAUCAAAUACUUCCGGGUCACUUCAAGAUUUAAGAAACUUCCUAAGCCAAUUUGACAAUUCGACCGUAUCCUCAGCCUUGGAAGUGGGAGAAAGGAUGGUGUCUCAGGCCUCCUCCUAGGUUGAGGGACGAUUUCUCUAUUUUAACAUCGAUGGCUUCCUUCACUCCUCUUUCAAACCAUCCAUCUUACCUGUCCAGAAUAUAUACAUCUGUGUUUGUAAAGGAGCGUCCCUUGUCCUUUAGAUGUAGAUAAAACAGCUGAAUCCCGCCCUGAGGAGCUGGCUCUCCUGUGUUGAGCCAUGCGUUUGUUUAGUGGUUGUUUAGUUUCUCCAACAUACAAGUUGGCACAUUCCUCGCUGCAUUGUCCUGCAUAUACUACAAUUACAACCAAGUCCAAUUGCUCCUGAUUCAACAGCCCCUUCGACAUGCUCACGAUAAAGUAGAUAGUACAGUAUAUUACUGGGAGAGUAAAAAAAAACAAAGAUUUUAUGUGCCUAUUAGAUAUGCUAUGAAUCAGAAUCAUUAUAAACUGUGAAAAUAAGGAUUAUAAUUCAGAUAUUUUAUACAUUAGAUAUGAUCAGUUGUGAUAUAAAAUAUGUCAAGACAGCUAUGUUUUUCUUUUUAUAGAGUAUGCCUGCUAUUAUACGUGAUUUAAUCACUUAAAUAUAUAAAACAAAUAAUUUGCAAUAGAAUAUUGUGCCAUUUGAGUUUGUGUGCAAAAUUUUCUAGAUAUAUAAAUUAUUUUUGUACAGACCCCACUUCUAAAUAACUGAAAUAAAACAUUUUAAAGUGGUUUCA